rnacentral:sRNA from 1 species
AGAUGCCUCUCUUGGUUCCCACUGCCCUGCUGGUCUUGGGGCAGAUUGAGGGGGGAGUCACAGGCCAUCCCUGCAAGGAAAAGCAGAGAGGGCAAUUUGGGAAGGUGACAGAGGACCCUGUGGGACGCCGAGUCACAGCCUUGCUGGGCACAAUGACUGGCGUGCAUAGUGAGCUGCUUUCGGAAGCACUGCCACCCCUGGCUCUCAGAUAUGCUGCUGAAAGGGGUGACAGGCAGUGGGGGGCUUGGGACUCCGCCAAGGUGUCCUAGCUCCCAUCCCCAUCCCCAGGCCCAGGCCCAGGCCCCUCCAGCAGGAAAGGCUAGGGACCACACUGCCAUGGGGUUUGCCAGGCCCUUGUCUUUUGGGAAGCCGCCCCUCCCAGGGAAAGGCAGGGCCGGGGGCUGUUCAGGCUCUGCCACCACCUGCUCUGUGACUUCGGGCAGGCCACCAAUUCCUCUGAAAAAUGGGAGUCUUUGUGGGCACCAUCACGCCCGGGUACAGGACACCCAGUGGCUCAGCUGCCCCAGCCAGGCUGCCCUUUCCUGACCUCAGCACACCUCCCACAGCCACUGCAGGCAGCCCUGGACCUUCUCCGGCUGAGGCCUUACUGCCAAUCCCUCUGGGAGACCAGACACAACAGGCAUCGGUCUGGGUGACUCCCAGGAGCCCAGGCCUCUAUCCUGUCCUCCCUAGUGGCUGAGGCAGUGGGCUGGGCAGCAGGGACUCAGUGCCCUGGGAGGCAGGCUCAUCCCACAAGUUGCCAUGGUAGCCCCUCCUCCUGCCCCUUACUCAUUAGCCAGGCUGUACUGACACGGGCUGCCCAGGCAGGGGGUGGCUCGCUGGACAAAGCUGGCCAUGCAGGCGCUCAGGCGUGCAGGGUAGCCAGCGCCCCGGCCAGGAAUGGACAGCCUCCAGGACACAGUGCCCCUGGACCACGGGGGCUGCUGCCCUGCCCUCAGCAGGCUGGUUCCCAGAGGCUUUGGGACUGAGAUGUGGACUCUCUUUGCCCUUUCUGGACCCCUGUUCCUGUUCCAGGUGCUGACUUUUAUGAUCUACAUCGUGAGCACUGUGUUCUGCGGGCACCUGGGCAAGGUGGAGCUGGCAUCGGUGACCCUCGCAGUGGCCUUUGUCAAUGUCUGCGGAGUUUCUGUAGGAGUUGGUUUGUCUUCAGCAUGUGACACCUUGAUGUCUCAGAGCUUCGGCAGCCCCAACAAGAAGCACGUGGGCGUGAUCCUGCAGCGGGGCGCGCUGGUCCUGCUCCUCUGCUGCCUCCCUUGCUGGGCGCUCUUCCUCAACACCCAGCACAUCCUGCUGCUCUUCCGGCAGGACCCGGAAGUGUCCAGGUUGACUCAGGACUAUGUAAUGAUUUUCAUUCCAGGACUUCCGGUGAUUUUUCUUUACAAUCUGCUGGCAAAAUAUUUGCAAAAUCAGGUACAGGUCUUUGGUGUGGGGGGAGGCCCUUCUCCCAGCACACUGCCCUAUUCCAGUGGGAGAGGGGCCUGGGGCUUUCCCCUUCUCUCCACCAUCUGUGAACCAGCUCUUGAAAGGGGUCACUUCCAACCCACCUGCCACGUCCUGACCUCCCGCACAGAGGCAGGUGACAGGCUGUGUGUCUCAGCCUCUUCCAACUCCUGAACAGGGAUGGCUGAAGGGGCAGGAGGAGGAGUCCCCAUUCCAAACCCUGGGUUUGUCCACCCUCCAUCCAUCUCACUCACACCUUAGCAGGGCCAGUUUUCAUUUAUUUCAGAAGAUCACCUGGCCCCAAGUCCUCAGUGGUGUGGUGGGCAACUGUGUCAACGGUGUGGCCAACUAUGCCCUGGUUUCUGUGCUGAACCUGGGGGUCAGGGGCUCCGCCUAUGCCAACAUCAUCUCCCAGUUUGCACAGACCGUCUUCCUCCUUCUCUACAUUGUGCUGAAGAAGCUGCACCUGGAGACGUGGGCAGGUUGGUCCAGCCAGUGCCUGCAGGACUGGGGCCCCUUCUUCUCCCUGGCUGUCCCCAGCAUGCUCAUGAUCUGCGUUGAGUGGUGGGCCUAUGAGAUUGGGAGCUUCCUCAUGGGGCUCCUCAGCGUGGUGGAUCUCUCCGCCCAGGCUGUCAUCUAUGAGGUGGCCACCGUGACCUACAUGGUAAGGCUCCUGCAGGGGUGCCUUCCCCACAUCCCCCACCUGAUGGCUGGAGGUGUCAUAGGAGGGGGGCAGGCUGUCACCUGAAGCUGUCUCUGUCUCCCGAGGGACCCCCCCCGGGCCUCUCGUGCCCACCAGGUCCAGACCUUGCUCAGCUUAUGCCAGGGCUCACACACAGGUGCCCAAAACCUGACCACCAAGGGUGAUAUUUCACUCACAGAUGUUGGAAUUUUAAAAAUUAAUUAGUAUUAUUUUAAAAUUGGGAGAUUUCACAUCACAAUCUUAUUUUUGGAUUUUCUUUAAAAAUGCACAUUCCAGGCUGGGCACGGUGGCUCACGCGUGUAAUCCCAGUACUUUGGGAGGCUGAGGCGGGCGGAUCACAAGGCCAGGAGUUCAAGACCAACCUGGCCAAUAUGCUGAAACCCCAUCUC